CUACGUGCCAGCAGCCGCGGUAAUACGUAUGUCGCGAGCGUUAUCCGGAAUUAUUGGGCAUAAAGGGCAUCUAGGCGGACGAUCAAGUCAGGGGUGAAAACUUGCGGCUCAACUGUAAGCUUGCCUUUGAAACUGAUUGUCUAGAGUAUUGGAAAGGUGGGCGGAACUACACGAGUAGAGGUGAAAUUCGUAGAUAUGUGUAGGAAUGCCGAUGAUGAAGAUAGCUCACUGGACGAUAACUGACGCUGAAGUGCGAAAGCUAGGGGAGCGAACAGGAUUAGAUACCCUGGUAGUCCUAGCUGUAAACGAUGAUCACUGGGUGUGGGCAGGAAGACUGUCUGUGCCGAAGCAAAUGCGAUAAGUGAUCCGCCUGGGGAGUACGACCGCAAGGUUGAAACUCAAAGGAAUUGACGGGGACCCGCACAAGCGGUGGAGCAUGUGGUUUAAUUCGACGCAACGCGAGGAACCUUACCAGAUCUUGACAUCC
rnacentral:rRNA from 1 species